rnacentral:snRNA from 1 species
AUACUUAUCUAGCAGGAGAGAUACAAAGAUCAUGAAGGUGGUUUUUCUGUUUUUUCCCAGGGUAAGGUCUACCCAUUGUACUCCAAAUGUGCAAUUUCUCUGACUAUGAGAAAAUCUGCCUCAUUUGUGGUAGUGGGUGACUGCAUUUGUGUUCUCCCA